GACAGGCCGGGAACUAGAGAAUCUGCGACCAGAAAAGCUCUCCGAUGAGGAAGAUGAAGCUCGGAAAGGUACAGUAUCUUGCCAAAGGCCACACAUCCAGUCUGUGGCAGAGUUGGAACUCACAUUGGGAGAUGACUUCAAGUUCUAUGCCAUUUCGCUCUGCUGUACUACCUCUCCACAUACAUGGUGGGGAUGGCCGAGGUGUUUAGAGACCUGACUGGAGCAGAUGUUUGUGCCCUACACCCGGGGUUUAUGGCACAGCACCCUGCUGAUUUCAGGACCUGCUAUUUGGUUGGAUUCAAGAUGGGAUGAAAACUUCACACACAUUUCAAGAAGGUGGCUAUCUUCAAUCAGUGCUUUCAGUUAUGCCCCUCAUAGGCAUUUUCAGCAGAGAUUUCUAA